GCAUAUCAAUAAGCGGAGGAAAAGAAACCAACAGGGAUUGCCUUAGUAACGGCGAGUGAAGCGGCAAAAGCUCAAAUUUGAAAUCUGGCACUUUCAGUGUCCGAGUUGUAAUUUGAAGAAGGUAACUUUGGAAUUGGCCCUUGUCUAUGUUCCUUGGAACAGGACGUCACAGAGGGUGAGAAUCCCGUGCGAUGAGGUGACCAAUUCUAUGUAAAGUGCUUUCGAAGAGUCGAGUUGUUUGGGAAUGCAGCUCUAAGUGGGUGGUAAAUUCCAUCUAAAGCUAAAUAUUGGCGAGAGACCGAUAGCGAACAAGUACAGUGAUGGAAAGAUGAAAAGAACUUUGAAAAGAGAGUGAAAAAGUACGUGAAAUUGUUGAAAGGGAAGGGCUUGAGAUCAGACUUGGUAUUUUGCGUUCCCUUCCUUUUUGGUUGGGUUCCUCGCAGUUUACUGGGCCAGCAUCGGUUUGGAUGGUAGGAUAAUGACAUUGGAAUGUGGCUCUACUUCGGUGGAGUGUUAUAGACUUUGUUGAUACUACCUAUCUAGACCGAGGACUGCGUCUUUGACUAGGAUGCUG
rnacentral:rRNA from 1 species